rnacentral:lncRNA from 1 species
AAACUCGUUUAGCUGAAUGCGCUUUCACACAUUCUCUCAAAAGACGGCCUAAUUUUUAAAUAAAAAAAAAAUUGCUCAUUUGGCUGGUUAAUUUCCUUUUGACAUAUUCAACUAAUUUAACCAUGAAAUAAAACUCAUUUUGUAAAAAUAAAUAAAAAUCCAAAACUCAAAAUUAAAAUGAAAAAGAAAGACUCAACUAGAUAAAAAUGAUCAUAAAAAAUUAAAAAAAAAAUCCAAAAUAUUCAACCAACCAAAUCUUACUUGUGCAUAAAAAAUUAGUAUAUCAUCAGCGGGUCUAUUUAUAUUUGGAAACUAGAUACGCUAAUGCUUUCAUCUACUCUACAAAACAAACACACUAAACCAUGAUAAAAACUAAUUCAUCUUCAAACAAUACAACAUAUUACUAUUUAACAAAUAAAAGAAGUCAUUUAAACUUUAAUUAUGAAGAUUUAUUAAUAUAAACUGUAGGCCCCAAUUUUAGCCCGGGGCCCAACAACUAAAAAUCCAAAUAAUAAACAGUCUCCUAUUAAAGUCUAGUUUACAAACCCAAAAGUAUUACAGGCCCAAUUCGUAAAACAAAAACUUAGACCUAAAGAAGAUACAAAGGCCCGAUUGACCCAAAGCUUUGAGGUUUUCGAAAACCCUAGGUUUCCCUUUGCGCCGCAGCACUAGCACCUCCACGCACGACCUCUGUGCGCCCCGCUCCACGUCGCCCUCCACCACGUCCUCAUGGCACCUGUAACUUGAGUGAAAAAUAGCAACAGAAAUGGCUAUAAAAGCCCUCAAAUUUCCAUUUUGUUUGGACUUUUUUUUUGUACGAACAUAUACACAAAGAAAUCAAAAUACAAGGUGACCCUUUUAUUAUUUUCGAGUGUUUUUUAUUUUUAUUUUUAUUUUUUUGAGACGUUUUACUACUAUUGUUUUAUUUUUAUUUACAUAUAUUUCAUAAAAAAAAGAAACAAAAAAUAGGGGAAUUUUACGAUGGCACCGGCAACGGUGGCCGGCGGCCGGCGGCGAGCGGCGGUGAUCGGCACUAGGGCCUGGCCGGGCUUCAGGCCUGCAGAGAAAAGGGGAGAGGGGCUUUUGUUUUUUUUGAAGGAAGAAGGAAAAAAAUGAAGUUUUCAAAAAAACAUUGGUAUUUAUAGGCCUCUCAAUCCGCG